GAUGAACGCUGGCGGCGUGCCUAAUACAUGCAAGUCGAGCGAACAGACGAGGAGCUUGCUCCUCUGACGUUAGCGGCGGACGGGUGAGUAACACGUGGAUAACCUACCUAUAAGACUGGGAUAACUUCGGGAAACCGGAGCUAAUACCGGAUAUUAUAUUGAACCGCAUGGUUCAUUAGUGAAAGACGGUUUUGCUGUCACUUAUAGAUGGAUCCGCGCCGCUUUAGCUAGUUGGUAAGGUAACGGCUUACCAAGGCGACGAUGCGUAGCCGACCUGAGAGGGUGAUCGGCCACACUGGAACUGAGACACGGUCCAGACUCCUACGGGAGGCAGCAGUAGGGAAUCUUCCGCAAUGGGCGAAAGCCUGACGGAGCAACGCCGCGUGAGUGAUGAAGGUCUUCGGAUCGUAAAACUCUGUUAUUAGGGAAGAACAAAUGUGUAAGUAACUAUGCACGUCUUGACGGUACCUAAUCAGAAAGCCACGGCUAACUACGUG
rnacentral:rRNA from 1 species